AUUGAACGCUGGCGGCAUGCUUUACACAUGCAAGUCGAACGGUAACAGGCCGCAAGGUGCUGACGAGUGGCGAACGGGUGAGUAAUGCAUCGGAACGUGCCCAGUCGUGGGGGAUAACGCAGCGAAAGCUGCGCUAAUCCGCCAUACGUCCCCUGGAUGAAAGCGGGGGCCCGAAGGGCCCGCCGGGAUUGGAGCAGCCGAUGUCAGAUUAGGUAGUUGGUGGGGUAAAGGCCCACCAAGCCAACGAUCUGUAGCUGGUCUGAGAGGACGACCAGCCACACUGGGACUGAGACACGGCCCAGACUCCUACGGGAGGCAGCAGUGGGGAAUUUUGGACAAUGGGCGCAAGCCUGAUCCAGCAAUGCCGCGUGCAGGAAGAAGGCCUUCGGGUUGUAUACUGCUUUUGUACGGAACGAAACGGUCCGGGUUAAUACCCUGGGCUAAUGACGGUACCGUAAGAAUAAGCACCGGCUAACUACGUGCCAGCCGCCGCGGUAAAAC
rnacentral:rRNA from 1 species